UACAGAGGUCCCAAGCGUUGUUCGGAUUCAUUGGGCGUAAAGGGUGCGUAGGCGGUGAGGUAAGUUGGAUGUGAAAUCCCGGGGCUUAACCCCGGAACUGCAUUCAAUACUGCUUUGCUAGAGUACUGGAGUGGAGAUUGGAAUUCACGGUGUAGCAGUGAAAUGCGUAGAUAUCGUGAGGAAGACCAGUGGCGAAGGCGAAUCUCUGGACAGUUACUGACGCUGAGGCACGAAGGCCAGGGGAGCAAACGGG
rnacentral:rRNA from 1 species